UGGAAGAGACUUCUGGGUUAUAAUGUUGCAUACUUGCAUCUAUGCAUUUCUGUUUGAAUUUAUAUAAUCUAUUACUUGUUAUAGGCAAUGUCUAAGAAAGUAAUCACAAGAUAAGAGUGGGAGAAGAAGCUGAACAAUGUUAGGAUUAGAAAAGAGGACAUGAAUAAACUAGUGAUGAACUUCCUAGUCACUGAGGGUUAUGUGGAAGUAGCAGAGAAAUUCAGAAAGGAAUCUGGGACAGAACCUGACAUAGAUCUUGCAACCAUUACUGACUGGGUGGCUGUGAAAAAGGCAGUAUAAUGUGGUGACGUUGAGGAUGCUAUUGAAAAGGUCAAUGAUUUGAACCCUGAGAAGCCCCAACUUGUCAAAGGAAAUAUGCAACUAUUAUCAGUGGAUCAGCAACGUAGUCAAGCUCUUGAAGCCCAUGCUGCAUCAUUUACCUCAUCAUUUCGAGUGAGAGAAGCUCCUUGCCACAAAUCUUUUAUUGACUCUGCUACCAUAUUUUUUGUUAUAGUUGGUGUUUAAUUUAAACAAAUAGCAGGAAAUGAUAAGGUUCUAUGCUCAUUUCAUUUGCAACAAAGACCUCAUAUGUAAUUUCAUUUAUUGUUCUUUACAAGUACCAUAGUAAUUUGUAUUGUUUUAA